AGUAUAAGCUAUUAUACGGUGAAACUGCGGAUGGCUCAUUAUAUCAGCAAGAAUCUAUUUGAUAGUAACUUUUUAUUUGGAUAACUGUUGGAAUCCGAGAGCUAAUACAUGCAAAAAGUCCUGACUAGGCGAAAGUUUGGGAGGGAUGUAUUUAUUAGAUGUGAAACCAAUGCGGGGUAUUCCAAACUGCACGGUGUUUCGCGGGGCAACUCGCGGGGUGCUGUGUGGGCUCCGUCCUCAAUGGUGAAUCAUGAUAACUUUGCGAAUCGCAUGACCUUUGCGUCGGCGAUGAUUCAUUCGAAUUUCUGCCCUAUCAACUUUUGACGGUAGUACAUGGGACUACCGUGGUUUUAACGGGUGACGGAGCAUUAGGGUGCGAUGCCGGAGAGGGAGCCUGAGAAACGGCUACCACGUCUACGGGCGGCAGCAGGCGCGUAAAUUACCCAAUCCCAAUUCGGGGAGGUAGUGACAAUAAAUAACAAUAUUGACCCUAUGGGUUAGUAAUUGGAAUGAGGACGAUCCAAAAAACCUACCGAGUAGCAAUUAGAGGGCAAGUCUGGUGCCAGCAACCGCGGUAAUUCCAGCUCUAAUAGCAUAUUUUAAAGUUGUUGCAGUUAAAACGCUCGUAGUUGGAUUUUAGAAUCGGGUCAGGCCUGGUCCGCGUAUAGUGGGUACUGACCUGGCCGGUUCUCCUUAUGAGAUACUCACCUCUGCUCUUAACUGGGUGGAGGUAGCAGGGUCCGGGCGUCGACGUCGUAAAAAAGCGGCGGCGCUCUGGCUUGGGUUCUCAUUCGUUUACUUUGAAUAAAUUGGAGUGUUCAAAGCAGGCAGUUAACGCCUUGUACAAUUCAGCAUGGGAUAAUGGAAUAGGCUGUUGGCUUAUUUCGUUGGUUUCUAAGCACAACAGAAUGAUUAAGAGGGAUAGUUGGGGGUUUUCGUAUUUUAUUGUCAGAGGUGAAAUUCUUGGAUUUGUUAAAGACGAACUACUGCGGAAGCAUUAACCAAGGAUGUUUUCAUUAAUCAAGAACGAAAGUAGGGGGAUCGAAGACGAUCAGAUACCGUCGUAGUCUCUACCAUAAACGAUGCCGACCAGCGAUUCGGAGACGUUAUUUUAAUGACUCCCCGAGCAGCUUGUGAGAAGUCAGAGUGUUUGGGUUCUGGGGGGAGUAUGGUCGCAAGGCUGAAACUUAAAGGCAUUGACGGAAGGGCACCACCAGGAGUGGAGCCUGCGGCUUAAUUUGACCCAACACGGGGAAGCUUACCAGGUCCAGACAAAGUAAGGAUUGACAGAUUGAGCGCUCUUUCUUGAUUCUUUGGGUGGUGGUGCAUGGCCGUUCUUAGUUGGUGGAUCGAUCUGUCUGGUUAAUUCCGAUAACGAACGAGACCUUAGCCUGCU
rnacentral:rRNA from 1 species